ACAUUCGGCCAGGUUCCUCUUGCAGGGCCUGUCAAUCUUUAUGGGAUUCUCUUAGAGGUUUCCCCCUUUUCAUUAAAAGGGGAGAAACCGUACUUUCAUUUCAUACCCAAACUCAACUCUCUCCCCAAAUCUUAAUGCCUCUCUCCCCAGUCAGCCUUCCUCUUGCUUUGAUCGGGAUGAUGCCACCAAGUGGAAGGAGUUGUUGGAUACACAUUUUCUAAACAGGUUCUUCCCCGUAAUCCCUGCUAGGAAGAUGAUGGGGUCCCCGAACAUAGAACAUGAGGUAAUUGAUUUGGGAAUAGGCAUAUAACCAAUGCUCACCAAAGAUAGGUCUGGAAAUGGUUUCCAUACUCCUGUGUCGCAGGAAGAUAGGGAUUUUAUAUUCUUCUGGAUAUUGUCUGUCUGGAUAAGAUCCAUGUUGCUGACACCAAGAAGGAGGCCAGUCUGUGAUCUAAGCUGAGUGUUGAGAAGAAGCAAUCAUGGUAACAGCAGCUUAAACGAAGUGGAAGUUUCUCUUUCUUACAUUUCAAGAGGAGUGGAAUCCGUCAGUUUGGGGCUGAUAUGGUGCCAUAUGUUGUUAGACACUCAUUCCUUUUCCACCCUGGCAUCCCUUGUUUCAUGGCAUCCUGCACAUCAGCAGCAACAAGAAGAAAGAAGAAUACAAGAAGAAAGAACAAGAUCAUGGGCCAGGAAAUACUUCAGUAAAGGCAUGAUUACAUGAUUCCCAAGAAGUUCAGAAGAAACUGCUGUGUGAUUUGCUUGCUAUGUUCCUGCUCUGGGGACACAAGACAUUGUUUUUGAAAGGUGACAAUUCUCUAAUCAUGGUACACAGAGAUAAAUACUUUAUUUUCCUCCAGGGAGAAAAAGAGAUGCAGUAAAUGCUUAAUGGGUUUUUCUUCAAUGCCACAAAGUCAGUAGCUAUAAAUCUUGAACACAA
ensembl:lncRNA LINC02430 long intergenic non-protein coding RNA 2430